rnacentral:rRNA from 1 species
CCUACGGGAGGCUGCAGUGGGGAAUAUUGGACAAUGGGCCAAAGCCUGAUCCAGCCAUGCCGCGUGUGUGAAGAAGGCCUUCGGGUUGUAAAGCACUUUCAGUGGGGAAGAAAGCCUUGGGGCUAAUACCCUCGAGGAAGGACAUCACCCACAGAAGAAGCACCGGCUAACUCCGUGCCAGCAGCCGCGGUAAUACGGAGGGUGCGAGCGUUAAUCGGAAUUACUGGGCGUAAAGCGCGCGUAGGCGGUCUGAUAAGCCGGUUGUGAAAGCCCCGGGCUCAACCUGGGAACGGCAUCCGGAACUGUCAGGCUAGAGUGCAGGAGAGGAAGGUAGAAUUCCCGGUGUAGCGGUGAAAUGCGUAGAGAUCGGGAGGAAUACCAGUGGCGAAGGCGGCCUUCUGGACUGACACUGACGCUGAGGUGCGAAAGCGUGGGUAGCAAACAGGAUUAGAUACCCUAGUAGUC